rnacentral:lncRNA from 1 species
UUUCUUUCUCAGCCCACACAGGCCAGGCCUGUGACCCUGCCGUCCCUCCACUGCCCCUGCUGGAUCCAGAUAUCCAGAAUGGCCCGCUGGUGCUACUGCCUCCUCUACCUCCUGGUACCUGAGCUUUGGAAAAGAGAUUUGCGGGACUAUAAGGGGACUCAAAGAUGCUAGGGUUCCAAGUGGCCACCCUACAUCAUGAGGCCACUGCAAAGGUUAUGAAAGAUGAGCCUGGGCAUAGAAAUAGAGUAAAAGCACCUGUGAGGUGCUAACCCUCAUUCACCAGCUUUAUUUUUCACAAGGCUGAAUCGCUCAGGGCAGAGGAGUGACCUGCCCAAGAUCACACCGAUCCCAAAGCCUGCAGCUUCCACCGCAGCCCCCGGAGCACACAGUAGGCAUUCAGUGAUUGCACAGGGGAGGGGACACCUGGCCAAGGCCCACCUGUGUUCUUCUCUCAGAUCCAAAGUCUCUCUGGCACCUCCUCCGACUUCCCAACUGAAUCAAGGAACCCUGGGGCCGCAGAUUUUUCCUCAGAAGUGCAUGGGAGAGGAAGGCCCCACCUGAGGCUGUGCAGGGAUGGGGAAUAGGACAAAGGACAGAGGACGUCGGAGUGUCGAGGCUAAGCGGUGAGCCUCAGUUUCCCUGCCUGUGAAGUGGAGACCCCUCCCCUCAGAGCCAGCUGGUAGCACCCUCGCCCUCAGCCAGGCCUGUCUGGAGUCACCGCCAUCCACAGCUGGUUCUCAUCUAGUGUCUUCCAGCGCACCCUGGGGGCGCCCAGCCUGGAGCCCAAGCUCCCUGCCAGCCCGAAGGAGGAGGCGAG